rnacentral:rRNA from 1 species
UACAGAGGUCUCGAGCGUUAGGCGGAAUCACUGGGCUUAAAGCGUGUGUAGGUGGAUCGUUAAGUACCUUGUGAAAUCCCACGGCUUAACCGUGGAACUGCUUGGUAUACUGGCGGUCUUGAGCCACCUAGGGGCUGCCGGAACAAAUGGUGGAGCGGUGAAAUGCGUAGAUAUCAUUUGGAACGCCAACGGUGAAAACAGGCAGCUGGGGGGUGUGCUGACGCUGGAGAACACGGAAAAGCCCAGGGGGAGCGAACGGGG